rnacentral:rRNA from 1 species
AUUGAACGCUAGCGGGAUGCCUUACACAUGCAAGUCGAACGGCAGCGCGGACUACGGUCUGGCGGCGCGUGGCGAACGGGUGAGUAAUGUAUCGGAACGUGCCCAGUAGCGGGGGAUAACUACACGUACGCGUAACUAAUACCGCAUACGCCCUACGGGGGAAAGCCAGGGAUCGUAAGACCUUGCACUCUUGGCACCGCCGAGAUCGGAUUAGCUAGUUGGUGGGGUAACGGCUCACCCAGGCGACGAUCCGUAGCUGGUCUGAGAGGACGACCAGCCACACUGGAACUGAGACACGGUCCAGACUCCUACGGGAGGCAGCAGUGGGGAAUAUUGGACAAUGGGCGCAACCCUGAUCCAGCCAUCCCGCGUGUACGAUGAAGGCCUUCGGGUUGUAAAGCACUUUUGGCAGGAAAGAAGCGACGCGAGCUAAUACCCCGGGGAACUGACGGUACCUGCAGAAUAAGCACCGGCUAACUACGUG